rnacentral:rRNA from 1 species
AUUGAACGCUGGCGGCAGGCCUAACACAUGCAAGUCGAGCGAGCGGCGGACGGGUGAGUAAUGUCUGGGAAACUGCCUGAUAGCGGGGGAUAACAACUGGAAACGGUAGCUAAUAACGCGUACACUAUGAUAUGCCCCAAUGGGAUUCGCUAGUAGGUGGGGUAAUGGCUCACAUAGGCGACGAUCCCUAGCUGGUCUGAGAGGAUGAGCAGCCACACUGGAACUGAGACACGGUCCAGACUCCUACGGGAGGCAGCAGUGGGGAAUAUUGCACAAUGGGCGCAAGCCUGAUGCAGCCAUGCCGCGUGUAUGAAGAAGGCCUUCGGGUUGUAAAGUACUUUCAGCGAGGAGGCGUUACUCGCAGAAGAAGCACCGGCUAACUCCGUGCCAGCAGCCGCGGUAAUAC